AAGUCGUAACAAGGUCUCCGUAGGUGAACCUGCGGAGAGAUCAUUACCGAGAUGCGGGCCUCCGCGCCCGAACCUCCCAACCCUUUGUCGAUGAAUACCUGUUGCCUCGGGGGCGACCCGGACGUCGCGCGGGAGCCCCCAGAGGACACAACCGAACACACUGCGUCUCAUGCGUCGGAGUCAUCGAAAACAAUCAAUCAAAACUUUCAACAACGGAUCUCUUGGUUCUGGCAUCGAUGAAGAACGCAGCGAAAUGCGAUAAGUAAUGUGAAUUGCAGAAUUCAGUGAAUCAUCGAAUCUUUGAACGCACAUUGCGCCCCUUGGCAUUCCGGAGGGCAUGCCCGUUCGAGCGUCAUUACACCACUCGAAGCCUGGCUUGGUAUUGGGCGUCGGGAUGCCCCCGCGCCUCUAUGUUUGUCGGCUGGACGGUUCGAAUCUCAGCGUUGUGUUCAUCAGAUCGCUGACGAGGACUGACCGGACGCGCCGUGAAAAUCCCAUCCACAGGUUGACCUCGGAUCGGGUAGGGAUACCCGCUGAACUUAA
rnacentral:rRNA from 1 species